GUGCCUAAUACAUGCAAGUCGAACGCACUUUCGUUGAAUGAAUUAGAGGUGCUUGCACCGAAGAUGAUUUUAGCUAUAAAGUGAGUGGCGAACGGGUGAGUAACACGUGGGUAACCUGCCCAGAAGUGGGGGAUAACACCUGGAAACAGAUGCUAAUACCGCAUAACAAAGUAAACCGCAUGGUUUACUUUUAAAAGAUGGCUUCGGCUAUCACUUCUGGAUGGACCCGCGGCGUAUUAGCUAGUUGGUGAGAUAAAGGCUCACCAAGGCAGUGAUACGUAGCCGACCUGAGAGGGUAAUCGGCCACAUUGGGACUGAGACACGGCCCAGACUCCUACGGGAGGCAGCAGUAGGGAAUCUUCCACAAUGGACGAAAGUCUGAUGGAGCAACGCCGCGUGAGUGAUGAAGGCUUUAGGGUCGUAAAACUCUGUUGUUGGAGAAGAACGUGUGUGAGAGUAACUGCUCAUGCAGUGACGGUAUCCAACCAGAAAGCCACGGCUAACUACGUGCCAGCAGCCGCGGUAAUACGUAGGUGGCAAGCGUUAUCCGGAUUUAUUGGGCGUAAAGCGAGCGCAGGCGGUCUUUUAAGUCUAAUGUGAAAGCCUUCGGCUUAACCGAAGAAGUGCAUUGGAAACUGGAAGACUUGAGUGCAGAAGAGGACAGUGGAACUCCAUGUGUAGCGGUG
rnacentral:rRNA from 1 species